GUGAAGCUAUAUAUAUACCGGCUGAUUGCACCUGCUCUGGUCGUUUUCCCGCCAACUCACCUGAUGCGGAUUGAUUUACGGACAGUCAUCGACGUUGUAGUUAAUUGAUGCACGAUGGAGUUCCAAUUGAAGUACAUCAUGGGGGCGUACAUCUAUCAGUACAUCAUGCAUUCAUUACGGACAUUCAUUCAUCGAUGUGGUAGUUCAUUGAGUUUCAAUUGAAGAAACACGCGGCUGACAGACGGACCGUCUAUACAACGUGCUAGUCUUCUCUGCGAUCGUGGCGCCCCCAUGCGGACCUUCAUCGACAACAGCAAUGACUUGUCCAUUAUGUUCUACGCGAUAUAAGAAACUAGCUGACGUGUACUAAGUGAAGAUUACUGUAUGCUCUGUCGCAUCUCCUAAACCUAUGUUCUAUCUACUGCUCCUCAGUUUCAUCUACUACCUCUCAGUUUCAUCUACUACCUCUCAGUUUCAUCUUCUAUUGAGAUGUUUAACACGAAUUGCUUAGUUUACAUACUAAGUUGUCGUGCGGUCGGAUCUCUGUAGUUCAUAUCGAUAGCCAGUCAAUCGUAUAUAAGUUAAUGUCAAUGAUAAGUCGAGUAUAUAUCAUUUGAUGCAGUAUUUUCUAAGUUCGCUUAGAUUCGCAUAGAUAAACUUAGUGCUUAGUGUUCAUUUUGUGUCAGUGUACGAUUGACUUCAGGAGUCGAGAGAAAAAGAAAA